rnacentral:rRNA from 1 species
UUGGAGGGCAAGUCUGGUGCCAGCAGCCGCGGUAAUUCCAGCUCCAAUAGCGUAUAUUAAAGUUGUUGCAGUUAAAAAGCUCGUAGUUGAAUUUCGGGAUCAAUUUAUUGGUCGUGCCAACGGUACGCACUGGUACAAUUGGUUUCUCCCUUCUGACGAAGCAUGAUGUCAUUAAUUUGAUGUCGUGGGGAAUCAGGACUGUUACUUUGAAAAAAUUAGAGUGUUUAAAGCAGGCUUUGGCUUGAAUACAUUAGCAUGGAAUAAUGAAAUAGGACGUUUGAUCUUAUUUCGUUGGUUUCUAGGAUCGACGUAAUGAUUAAUAGGGAUAGUUGGGGGCAUUAGUAUUCAAUUGUCAGAGGUGAAAUUCUUGGAUUUAUUGAAGACUAACUACUGCGAAAGCAUUUGCCAAGGAUGUUUUCAUUAAUCAAGAACGAAAGUUAGGGGAUCGAAGACGAUCAGAUACCGUCGUAGUCUUAACCAUAAACUAUGCCGACUAGGGAUCGGAUGAUGUUAAUUUUUUAAUGACUCAUUCGGCGCCUUACGGGAAAC